rnacentral:rRNA from 1 species
CGCGUAGGUGGUUUUGUAAGUCGGAUGUGAAAGCCCAGGGCUUAACCUUGGAAUUGCAUCCGAUACUGCAUGACUAGAGUAUGGUAGAGGGAAGUGGAAUUUCCGGUGUAGCGGUGAAAUGCGUAGAUAUCGGAAGGAACACCAGUGGCGAAGGCGACUUCCUGGGCCAAUACUGACACUGAGGUGCGAAAGCGUGGGGAGCAAACA